UUUUUUUUUUUUUUUUUUGCUAAUUUGUGCAAGAGAUACAAAACUAUAUAAUAGUAUAAAUAGUAUAAGAAUUUCACUAAAUUUCUUACAAGAUUGUUCUGUACUUUUACCCUCACUCCUGAACAUCCCUGAAUUCAUGUUUUGUGAAGUUUCUAGCUGUCCAUUGGAAUGAUUUGGAGCAGUGAGAUGACGUUGGAAGAUACUGAUCAGAGACAUGAUCUCAGAUUUCAAGUCAGAAAAUGUCUCUGGAGAAUGGUGAAGAACAAAACUAGCAUUUUUUCCUUCAGGUCUUUUUCUUAGGGUGAAUGGAAAACAAUGGCAACAUGUUUGUGUGUCGUGGUCUUUGUUGAAGCAGAAACUCAGCUUUUGCCUCUCCCUGAUGGAGUGAUAUAAAUGUGAUUGCUUUAUGCUCUUCCCUGGUUUGUCAUUACCAUCUUGGGACUAGUAAUCUGUAAAUUAGAAUUUAUUCUGUUGGUGCUCCAGUGAAGAGGCUUAUUGGUGAAAAAUUAAAAAUGGGGAUUGCUUUCUGCACUGCUAUUAUAGCCUCCUUAAAAAUGAGGAAUGAGGAGCCUGUAGCUAAUAAAUCCAGAAGAGGAGGGCUCCUAAUAUUGUGUGAAGGGUGGCCUAGGGGCCACUGCUCAGUGAUCUUUGAGUGGUCGUGGUGAUGGGGUAGAUUCCUGAGGACUGGCAGCCAGCACUGAUUGAUGACAAGCCAACCUUCACCAACCCCUCAGCCUUUUCCAGUGUAAUGUCUGGCUUGGGGGAGGAGAGCAGAGCAGUGGGUGUUGUUUACCUCAACCGUAGCAAGGUGCUUGCCUCUGUCUCCCAAACUAUCCUCAUGGAUGAACUGCUGAAAUACAGACUGAGAAAGGGGGUUGAGAACCCGCUGAGGCACCAGCCUCGGGAGGUUGGGAUCAGCAGCUCCGGGUCCAGCUGGAAGCCAGGGGGUGUUGCGUCGCGGUCAGCACCCUCUCACCGCGACACCCCGAGCGUGGGCGUGCCGGGUGGUGAGGGAAGAGAACGGGCGGCCGAUCCCCCUGUGAAGCUCUGCAGCCCCUGUUGUUGGCGCAGGGACAGAUGGAGGCAACACGGGACUUGGGGGUGAACAGGAUGGAUUUAUUUAGUGAGCCCCAAGACCCCCCCGGGGGGGCAAACAAAGGUUUUAUACAAGAACUCAGGAGGCGGGGUAUAGGGACAGUAACUAAUAGGGGAAUAGCAGGGGAGGAGUUUAGGGCAGGACUAAUGAUAUGUUUAUCAUAAACCUAUCAGGGAAAACAAGCGAGUGGAGUAACACAAAGUAACCAACAGGGUGUUGAGCCUCACUAAAUAGACAGGGACCGUCCUGGGGAAAGGGGCAGGGAAAGGGAGGACAGACAUCCUGGAGAGAAGGGGGUUAGGAAUGAGCUAGGGAAGAUUAACACUGGGGAAGGGAAGAGAUAGUGGGGGGGGCGGGUAUGAACAGACACUGAAAGAAUAAAAAACACGCCACUGCAAGGGGGGUACCCCACGGCUCAGUUCUGGGGCUGUGUCUGUGUAGAAUUGAAAAAGGAAAUGUGUCCUGUCCCUUGAUGGCAUCUGACAACUCUGUGAAGCUACACAAGGGUGGUGCAAGGGGACAGAAACUGAAUCAAUGCCCAGGGCACAGCCAAGCUACCUUAGGAUUAAACAACACAGAUCAUUUCAAGUCAAGGUUGCUGGGGUCACAGGGGGAAGCAACAUUUGUGCAGCAGAAACUCUCAAGCUCUUUGUAAACUGAGAGAAUAGAAUAAAUGGAUGCCAGGCAGCUGUGGGAGCUGGUGACAAAGACAAGAGGCUGUGGAGCUGACCCUUGACACUGGCAGUCACAGUUGCCUGGCACAAAACCUCCCCUAUUGCUGCAGGAGAAAGACUGGGAACAACUGCUGGUGCCAGCAGGGGUCUGGGGAGAAGCCAAGCCAAGCCGCAUUUCCAUCGGAAUUUAUUUACUCACAGAUCAGAGGAGAUACAAACCAGGGAGCUCAGCGUGGCUGUGGGCACCAGAGCUCAGGGGUUUGCACCACUUCAUGCAGCAGAGGAGGUUGGUUGGGACCAUGGCUGCUUGUAGGGGCAAGUACAGCCUCACAAACCAGCUUGUUGUACUGCUUGGAACCAAGGGGCUCAUUCAUUGUUCUCAGGACAGUCAAAGGUGCAAUCUCAGCCCACCUGUUUGUCCUCUAGAUUGGAAUGUCAAUGAAUGAAGGUCCAGCCAUCUUCUCUAGUGUGUUUUGGUAAAGAAUUACAGCACCCUGACCUAACCAUUUCUUUGAAUAAUUCUGGGAAGUGUCUUAAUUUAGGAUAAUAUAUGCUUUGUUAUAUUAAAAAGCAUCCCAUGUGACACAGUGUUCACAGAACAGUGCAGUGAAGUGUUAGCCCAAGUUCUGAAAAAAGCAGUCCCUGAAGUGGACUGUUUUGAGAAGGAAUUGUACACGUAGAUUUUGUACUGGAAAUUAUUCUCUACAGUGCAAAACACAGAAAGACACACAGACACACGCCCCAGCCCCCCACCCCUUCUUUUUCCUAUGAAGUGCAAACUCCAGUGCUUGUUCAAUAUGUUAAUAAAUAUACAGAGAAUAUGGGGUUAAAUAAACCUUUCUGCAACUUGGUGUUUGGGAGUAUUGAGCAUCCUCUGUGUUAGCAUUGAAGCUCUCUUUUAAUGCAAUUUGGGAUUGAAAUUCAGAUGAGUGAUACAAAAAAUAGAAUUCAGUGAUAAAUUAAAAUCAGCCUGUAACACCAGUUGUUUCUAAAUGAGAUUGAGGUGUUUGUGUAUAUAAAAGCACUAUGUUGCCUAUGAGUUGUAGAGAGCUGCUUUGAGGGUGUUGGGGGGAAUUUUUGAUUUGAAAUCCUGUUUUUAUAUACGUAUAUAUAUCACAUAGACUAUCAGAAAUCUGCAGGAAGAAUAGUGAAAUAAUAUUGACUUCCAUUAUGUCUGUUAUAACUGCAGAAAGCAUAUCUACAAUGUGUUACACAUUGUGAUCCAGUGGCUCUGUAGCACUUUUGAAAAAUACUAAAUACUGUGGCAAGCACAUUUCUCUCCCUCUCAGGAUUUUUCAUAGAGGUGCACAGAGAGAAAUGAAAGAGAAAACAAUUUCUAUUUCUGCUCCUUGUUUUUCUCAUUUGGAAUGUGUUUGGAGAAUUGUUUACCUGGGGUGAUUGCUUGAUUGGAUUCUGGUGAGGAUUGUUUGAGCCUGAUGGCCAGUCCAAUCCACCUGUGUCUGGACUAGAGCGAGAGAGUCACAAGUUCUGUUAGAGAAAGUAGUAUGUAGUUUUAAUCUCUUCCUUUUUAUAUAGCAUAUUAAUGUAUUUUAGCCAUAGUUAUGAUAAAGAAAUUAUUCAGCCUUCUGAAUUAAAUCAGACAUUGUCAUUUCUUCCCAUUGGGUUUGCCUGCAUUUACAAUAAAAUACAACAAAGCAAAUAUAAAUUAUAGAUCCAAUAAUAAUGUAUUUACACAUUCCUUUUUAUUUUUGCAGUAGUACAUAGAAAGGAGAGUAACAGCUGAUAAGCAAUAGCUUUUAAAUAUAUUUUCUUAAGAUAAAAAUCAACAUUUAUCUUAAGAUAAAUGAAGUAAUGGGAUGACACAUUCAGCAAUGCACACUAAAUCCCUUUAUUAACCCUGAAGAAGGAAGCCGUCGCAGAAGGACGUUAACACAGCCCACACUGGAGGGCAGUGUUGGCUGCCAGAAUUACUGUCAAUUCCUGUUAACCCAGAAGGGUUUAUGCAGCCUGGGUUUUGGAAAGGCUGGGUGUCCCGUCAGGGGCUUCUCUAUUUCGGAAAGUAAAAUAUACAGGCAUCUGCCUCACAUGCUUAGAUAUCAUGUGUAAAAAUUUUUUUUUUGCCCUUUCAGGAGGAACUUUGGCGUGAGUAUUGUUGUUAUCCAUGGCAGUAUCUGAAAGAUUUUUGUGUAGCUUCAGUCAUGGACUUCAACCUAUGUUUAACACAACUGAGGUAUGGAAAAAAUAGGUGCCAGAUGCAAAUUACUUGGAGGAGCACUUUGAUACAGAUGAAUGACAGAGAUUGUAACAACACAGCCCCAGGUAAAAUGGGUAACCCUUACUUGUUCUAGUUGAAACAAAUUGUUCUGCUAAACAUCAAAUGUCUGCAAAACAGCUGAAGGUAAAUAUCUUGGUAUAUAACCUCAUGUUUAAAGGGAAAUGUCAGUGUUUAGAAGAGGAAAUAAAGCUAAGAAGCAAAUUAGUUUAUUAAGCAAAUAUCAUUGUUACAAAAGUAGUAACUUUCAUACUAAAAAAAAAUAAACCAAUAACCAAAGAAACCAAAAUGGGACUAAACAUCUUGUUCUGUGGCAUUCUCAGCUGAUGACUGGUGGUUGAUUUCCUCCUCCCUAGACAUGUCACACAUGAUUUGUACUUCUCAGCCUGCAAGUCAGAGGCAGGUGAAAGUCUCUGCUGAACAUGUUGUACUUAGAUAUCUGUCAAAAGCUUUCUUGCCUACCUCUACCAACAAACAGAAAUUGGCAUUUCCAGGAAAUGGGCCAGCAUAGCUUUUGCAGUAUUUUUACUACUUGUGUAAAGAGGUUGAGAAGGAUAUUCUCAGUAGCAAUAACAAUUUUUCCUUCAAACAUUUUGCAUCACAGUGAUACAGGAAUACACACAUCUACAUAUCAACAUGGCAGCCAGUGCUACUUACACUUUCCUAUAGCUGUUAAUGGUUAAUUUUCACCCUUGGUAGCAUUUUGUGAAGGUGUCAGUGCCAAUAUCAAUUUCCCUUAGCAGCAGGAUCCUCUGUAAAUAGAAUCAAGCAGAAUCUGUCAUAAAUCAGGGAGGGUUUGGGUUUUUUUAGAAACAAUUUGUCAGAUCAUGACUUUUCUACCCUUUUCCAGUCAGAGUGUUUCGAGACCUAUCAAAUAAGCCAUGGAAAAAUACAGUGAAGGCUUUCUAGGUAGCACUUCAUAUUCUGUUAAUACACAGGAUUUUUGGUAGCGGUUAUCAUGAUAAAGAGGCCUUUUUUAAUAGCUUUUUAAAAUAUAUAACAGAGCUCAAGAGAUUACCUUUCAUGUUUCCAUAUUCUUGUUGCUUUUGGUGGGCAUUGUAGUGUAAGACCUUAAAGAUCCGUGUCCAUCAGGAAUGGACAGAGUGCACUGGUAGGUUAUUCACUGGUUUAGAUGGAGAUUCUCUCUUCCCUAAACUUAGAAGUAGUGGUCUCUGACCUCCAUGUAUUAAACUACAUUUCAGGUGGCUGCUUAUGCUCAUUUGGAAAUCCUUUCUAUCACCCUCACACAGACCCUCAUCCUAUCUUCAGACUGGACCUCUGAUUUCUCUCCUCUCUGAUCGUAAUUCUUCAAAGGCUUUUGCCAUUGGAAAGCCCACACUGAAUUGUGAAUGAAUUUCCUUACCAAAAAACUUGUGCUCACAACAGGACCCCACAUGUGAAUCUCCUUACCAAGUUCAUCCUUAUCUCAGCACGAGCUCUGCCCCUUCCCUGGGGCAGAAGGGACAGGUUCUCUUGGUCAUGGUGUAACCCCAACUCUGCCGACAUCAUGCUUAUCUCUUUCCCAAGGCCACUGACUCAGGUAUAAUACACCUUUGAUCCUGGGGUCUGAUCAGGAAAUACAAGCUUCUCUCACUAAAUUAGUCCCAAAAUAGGUCUGAAUUCCUUUAAAACAGGUUAAUUGUCUAUCAAGUGCCUUAACCUUGUCCUUGUUUUAGUCUUGACUUUAGUUCAUCUGAGUAGAUACUCAUCCAUCAGAAACAGGACUCGCCAUUCCUAGUCUGCCACUCUCUCUUGUGUUCUUCCAUGUGGGAUCCAAAUGCCUUUUUCACAUCAAUGGACAUUCUGGGCUUAGCUGCCUGUAUAUCCUGCUGCUUUGUGUUGAUGUGCCUUUGAAAAUAACAAAAUAUAGUAAGGAUUGUUAAAAGACUCUUUAGGGGAAUUCUUCUCCAUUUCUAUACACUAAAACACUCACUUCAGAUCCUAAGAGCAGGAAAAUGUCAUUCCAAUGGAGUUAAUUCAAAUGCAGAUCUAAGCUGAAAACGUUUUAAAGCUGUUUUACUCUGUUGUGUUUUAGUGCUCCAUUUGGAUAAUUAGUUACAGCUUCCUGAAGGAAAUCAGGUGCAGUCAUUAAUGGCAAUCUGGGUGUCUGCUGAUUUCCAGAACAGGUGUAAAAGAGUAAGAAUAAACUGAAGUUUUCAGUAAAGAGAGAACUUUGUUUUUAGAUGAAAUCAAGCUUUCUGGCUUGUACAUACAGAAGUUGUUUCCAUAUUGAAAAAGCUCCCCGCUCCCUGUCCCUCUUGUAUGAAACAAUCUUUAGUUUGCUUUUAUUACUGUGCAUUGAUUCCUAAAGAUAAUACCUCCUUUAUGGUCACUGCCUGUGCUACAAGUCAGAAAGAAGCCUUUACACUAAGCUAGUCCUGCAAAAAACUUUUUGAUCCUUCUCAAGUCUAGCUGUGAACAAUGAAAGAAUCAAAUACACACACACUUCAAAUGGUCCUGGACAACCUUCCUUUUCUUCAUUAUCUAGAGACAAGGCUUUCAUUUUGUAGCCAAAUAAACAUCAAAUGAUCACAAACUUGGAAACAGCAAGUUAUGGAGGAUUAUGUGGCAUGAUUGCAAUGAACCCUUUUAUUUUUAUUAUUAUGAGAGUCAGUGCAAUACUCCUUUGGCAGCUCCCAGUUCAGCAUUUGUAAUAGACAGAGACACUAGUAAGUGAAACAUUAUGGGAUUCAUUAAGUGUAAUUUUAUAGGUUGUAACUAAAACCAUUGAUACUCAAUAGAAAUUUUUAAUACAAUGCCUUUUGUUGUACAUUAUAUUGAAAAAUGUAUGUAUAUCCAAGAGAGUUUGAUCAUGGUUAUGUUUAUGUUAACAAUGAUUAAGGGCAAAAUAACAUUUCUUUUACCGCAUAGUUCAACAAAUUAACUGCACAGAGAGACUGAAUUCUAAUCCAAGAACUAAUUCCACGUAAGCAAAGAACAAUUGCUAAAUACUGCUGAGCUAGCCAACAGAGAAUAAGUGUGUGCCAGAAAAGCAACAAAUGAAACCCUGCCCUGCACACUGCUGUAUGAACCACUGGGAGCAUCACGACUCUGGGUGUUCCUAAUGGGGGGCCAGAAAUCUUUCUUCUUUCCCGGUGGUCAGGGGAAGAUGCAGAGCACUGUCUUGUUGGUCUGUACAACUGAAUGAAAAUGCAAUUUUUUUUCUCCUUUAGAUAAACUGGAGAACACAUGUUCUGCAGAGGCAAGAAGAGGAGGAGGAAAAUCAGCAUGGGAGUAGACAGAAUCUUGAUUUAUGUAACUCCUUUUUGAAUAACAGGAGCCACUUAGGUUCAGUCAGGACCUUGAAUUUCUUAUGCAAACCAACCUGAGCUCAAGGACAACAGAAAAUAUUUAUUUUAAAAAGGCCUCUGGCUUUUUUUGUAGGAUCAUGACAUUUGCAGGGACAGGUGAGUUGAUGUGAGAAGAAAACAGUUUGGUAUCAACAGCUUUGGGGCUUAUCUCUCCCAGCACAAUGUGGCUGAGAACCUGGAAAAAGCAUCCUGGCAUCCACAGGGAGAACAUUUCAUUCCUCUCUAGAAAUUUAUGCUAUUUUUGCAAAGCACAGUGCAGAACUGAGGAACCUCUAUACAGUAGCCUGAGACCAUUACUGAGGAUGACUUGGAUUAAAACCUUCCUCUCCCUGUUAAACCAAGCAAAAUCUAAUCAGAAGGGCAGCUGAGCCUUUGCCCUACCACACUGCUUCUUACCUGUAAGAGCUGGCAUUUGUUGGACCUGAACUGAAAUGGUUUGCUUAAAGAUGGCAAAUGACAAUUUCUGUAGUUCCAAAGCUUUUAAAGGAAAUCAUGAUCACAACAUCAAGUCCCGUUGAAAUGCUCAAGACUGCAUCUCAAAAAAGAAAGAGGAAAGAUUAGCACUGCACAGCAGAGCACUUGCAGAAACACCAUAAAUAAACACCUGAUGGCACCUGGAGUCAGCCUUCCUAGGCGAGACAGUGCUCUGUCCUCCUGAGCACCAGCUGCUGCUGAUAAUCCACCUGCACUGUGCCCUGGUGAGCCAAGUUCUGUUUCACACACUUGGGCACAGACUGAUCCAGAGAUUCCCUCAAGCUGAGGAAGUGAACACCUGGCAGUACAAGAAACUGUCUACACCUGCUCCUAACCCUAGGUGAGCCAACAAUGUCUCAUAAUCCAUGGGGCUGGUAUUUACUCAAAUUCUGACCCCUAAGGUGCAGAGGUGCAGACCUCAGGAAAACAGACAUGGGAAACUCCAGUAGCUUCUCUUCCAAAGACUCUCCCUGGUUUUUUGUUUGUUUGUUUGUUUUUGUUUUUUUAACAAUUCUGUAUUUACGCAAAUCGAUUUCUGUAUCCCUUUACUGGACUUAUUUGAUUCUUCUUUCUGCCUUCCUUCAUCAAGCCCCAGGCAAACAACUGCUCCAAUGGAACAUGGAAAUGGCUUGGAAAAAUUAAACCUUAGGUACUCUCCUUCAUGAGCUUCCCUUCCUUUCAAUGCUGCUGUCACUAAUAUUGAAAUUAUUAUGGGCAGAACUUGAUAUCUUUGGAUACGUUAAAUUAUUUGAAGAGAUAUCUCAAUGUGCAGACACAGAAGACAUUGAAUUAUUAAAACUGAAAAUAAUAAUAAUAGAUCAACAGCUUUGGCUUCACCUCUGCAAUUUGGGUUUUUCCACGGAGGCUUUACCAUCUUCCUCUGGAGUCACUGGCUGUGACAGCUCAACUGUAGGACCAGCUGAGUCUGGAGUCACCUCACCCAGGGUGAGCUCCCUGUCCCAGCAGCUCUCACCUCACACCCCUGCGCAGACAAGGCUCUCCUCAGCUCAGCCCCUCCCAGCAGCUCCAGCCUUACCUGCAACUUCCCUGGAGAGAGAACUUCUCUUCUUCCGAGAGGACUCUCAGCUUGCAGAGGCAGUAGUAAGAAUUGGGAUUUGAAGCUGUUCGUGUUGAUCUACAAGGGAUGGAAGGGAGAGGAGACAUCAGUGCCUGCCCUUUC
ensembl:lncRNA